rfam:Streptomyces sp. MP131-18 scaf_01, whole genome shotgun sequence.
CUUCACCGAGCCGAGCCACAGCGGACGCCCCGCCUCCCGCUCCUGGCCAUAGGUCGCGAUCAGCGCCUGCGCCUC